GAAUUGCAGAAUUCCGUGAAUCAUCGAGUUUUUGAACGCAAGUUGCGCCCGAGGCUCGUCUGAGGGCAUGCCUGCCUGAGCGUCCG
rnacentral:rRNA from 3 species